GCGGGUGUAGUUCAAUGGUAGAAUCCCAGCCUUCCAAGCUGGUCGUGUGGGUUCGAUUCCCAUCACCCGCUCCA
rnacentral:tRNA from 18 species